AGGCUUGGUAUAGGGGAGAGGUAAGACAAAUGUUUCUUUGAGGAACCGCAAAGAUGCUGUACAUGACUUGAACAUUGUUAAGGACAGAGGUCUCGGCAGGGGGGAUAAAGACAUAUAGAAAGUGACUGCAAGAAAUUGUUCACAAAUGCCCAAAAAUGAGUAAUAAAACAGUUGUACAUGAUGACAACUUGAUAUUUCUUGCAUGCCAAAUGAGAGUAAAGUGUGUUGCAACACUUGAUAAAGGGGGUGCGGUUUCAUAUUGUGAAAUUCCUCAAGUUUUUGGUCCAUAAGGAACAACCAUAUGCCAUGCUUCCAGUGUACAAGAUGAGUCAGAAACCUCUCUCUGAUAUCAAUCUUUUGCAUGAAAUUUUUUGGGCCACAUUUUUUUGCUGAUUAAACAUGGGGAUUUAAUUGACGGAGUCAACAUAUGAAGCUCCUGUGUAGCAUGUCAAUCCUUUGGGUGUCAAUUUGAUAUUAUCCAAGGAUAAUAAGAAACUCAUUUCCAUUACUGCCUCAAUGAGCUACUUGGAGAUAUAGUGCCAUGUGCAUCAUGUUCAAUUGGAUUAUGCUGCUCUCAGCGUUGCUAAGAACAAGCUAAUGAAGGACCUUGGCAGAUGCAAAAGCGAUUCAGAUGAUGUUGAAGGGAUUGAAGACUAUAUUUGAGAUUACUUUAUGCAGUGAUUCAGACCCAUAUGUGGAAUGCUUUCUUGAGCAUAGACAUGAAUGUAGAGGAGUGAACUGGCCUACGGUGUUACCAUCUGAUAUAGUUUUGGUUGCUCGUAUACUAGUGAAGUCUACAUUGCAAGGAGCAGGUUAUGUUGAGGUUAUCAUAAUUAUUUCUCAAAUCAGAGUGAAUUCUAUGGCAGUUGUUCGCAUGAAAUCUGUGGAUAGUUAUGGUCUGGCGGGUGAACUUAGAAAACAUCCAUCUAAUUUAGGUGCUUUAACUAGCUCGUUGGACAGGUUUUUUCUUUGUAAUAUCCAAAAAAUUUCCCUUUAGACUUCUCUUUCAUCUUUGUUUUUUCUUAUUGUCCUUGUUGUUUCUUUAACUCUUUUGUGCGCUCACUGUGGAAACUGAAGAAUUUUCGGAAAGUUGACAGUGAAAGAUGCUGGGAUGCGCAUUUGUAGGUAUCAUAUUUCCUGUAUCAUAAACAUGAUGUGACUGAGAAUUUACUUUACAA